GAUGAACGCUGGCGGCGUGCCUAACACAUGCAAGUCGAGCGAGAAUUGAUGGAAUGAACCUUCGGGGGAGUGAAGUCAAUGAAAGCGGCGGACGGGUGAGUAACGCGUGGGUAACCUGCCCCAUACAAAGGGAUAGCCACUGGAAACGGUGAUUAAUACCCUAUAAGACUACGAGGUCGCAUGAUUUUGUAGCCAAAGAUUUAUCGGUAUGGGAUGGACCCGCGUCUGAUUAGCUAGUUGGUGAGGUAAUGGCUCACCAAGGCGACGAUCAGUAGCCGACCUGAGAGGGUGAUCGGCCACACUGGAACUGAGACACGGUCCAGACUCCUACGGGAGGCAGCAGUGGGGAAUAUUGCACAAUGGGCGCAAGCCUGAUGCAGCAACGCCGUGUGAGUGAAG
rnacentral:rRNA from 1 species